AUACGGAGGAUCCGAGCGUUAUCCGGAUUUAUUGGGUUUAAAGGGUGCGCAGGCGGCCAUUUAAGUCAGCGGUUAAAUCGUGGGGCUCAACCCCAUUCUGCCGUUGAUACUGGGUGGCUUGAUUGCGGUCGAGGUUGGCGGAAUUCGUUGUGUAGCGGUGAAAUGCAUAGAUAUGACGAAGAACACCGAUUGCGUAGGCAGCUGACCAGACCGCAAAUGACGCUCAUGCACGAAAGUGCGGGGAUCGAACAGGAUUAGAUACCCUGGUAGUCCGCACAGUAAACGAUGAAUACUUGUUUUCGGCGAUAUAAUGUCGGAGGCAAAGCGAAAGCGAUCAGUAUUCCACCUGGGGAGUACGCCGGCAACGGUGAAACUCAAAGGAAUUGACGGG
rnacentral:rRNA from 1 species